UACGUAGGGGGCGAGCGUUGUCCGGAUUUAUUGGGCGUAAAGAGCGUGUAGGCGGCCAGGUAGGUCUGCUGUGAAAACUCGAGGCUCAACCUCGAGACGUCGGCGGAAACCAUCUGGCUAGAGUCCGGAAGAGGAGAGUGGAAUUCCUGGUGUAGCGGUGAAAUGCGCAGAUAUCGGGAAGAACACCCGUGGCGAAGGCGGCACUCUGGGCCGGUAUUGACGCUGAGGAGCGAAAGCGUGGGGAGCGAACAGG
rnacentral:rRNA from 1 species